CUUGGUCGUAUGGCCUGAUCUGUGGCAAGUGCAAAAUCAGAAUCACUGGUGGAGAACACCAGGGACAAGCACACGAAUUGCCUUCACUCUAUUACACACAUACCAAUUGCUAUAAUAUUGAAGAAAAUAUUCAUAAAUCCCUUUUUCCUUUUGCUGCUUUAUGCUUCAUCGCCUUUUCCCCAUUUGUAGUUUAUAGAUGGAAUGAAGAAAAAAUGUAGAAGGCAAAUGGCAAGGAGGGAGGAUGUUUUCUAGAGGCAGAAUGGUCAAGAGGCAGGUCUUUCGCACCAGGCAACCAAAUUAAUUCCUGACCCAGCCUUUUACUAGCUGUACGACCUCAGUAAAGAUUCUUAACUUCUUUUAGCUUCAUCUGUAGAAUAGAAAUAUUUUCAAUGAUGGCAGGAAAAGAACAGAAGCAAGUUCCAUUGUCACUAAGGUGAUGAGUGUCAAGGAAAAGCAAACUAAAUAGUUUGGUGUUUGUUUGUUAAGGAGAGGAUGAUGAAAUUUAGAAAGAACAAUCAGAAUUAAAUAAAUAUUGAUAUAAUUCAUGUUAGUAGAUAUAAUAUACAGGCAAAAACACAACAAAAGUUUUACUUACUAGCAUUUUUGAUAUAGUUUAAAUCCUUGACACUUACUUUUGUGCUUAGUUUGGUUUGUCCCAAAGUACCAAAGAACCAGAAAUAGAAAUAUGUAUAAUGCAACAAAGAUAAAGAGUUCGUCUUCUGACCUUUGGGGGACGUACUUAAAAAUAAAUAAAUAAAUACAUAAAUAAGAUUAGAGAAUUUAAACUAAGGAAUAAUCUCAUUAAGUCAAUUACAGGAACUUGAGAAAGAAGAUGAAAAUGAAGAUAACACAGAAGAUAAAAUAAAGGCAAGAGAAAGUUUCCUGAGACUAGUUUCUUUUCAUAAUUUGCCGAGCAAAUGCUUCGUUCCCAUGGUCUCAUUCUUUAGUUUAGGAAGAAAACGGCAUGAAGAAGUUUCCAGGUGAAAAAAUGUAAUUUAGCAUAGACAAAAUGUUUACCUCUAUGUGUAAAUUCCACAGGUUAUGAUUAGAAAAAAAUGAAGCUUAGUGCAAGGAGCAAGAGGCAAGUCCUGGGUCUGUCUAUUCCCUCCGUUAUCUAUGGAAGUGAUUCCCCAUUUGUGGUUUAGAGAAAGAACAAAAAACUGUGGAAGACAGAUGAUGGAUAAGAGUGUUUCCUAGACACUGUAUUGCACAUGAUUGCAUUGUGGAUCAAAUGAGAUACAUGGUAAAAACUUAGUUUAAACUAUAAAGUGUCAUUUAAGUAUAAGGCUAUCUUUGUUAUACUUACGGUCUCUUAUAGUAUUUGAGUAUACUAAUCAUAUUCAUUUACUUAUUUAUUCCUAUAAUUUAAGAUACACAAAUUCCUAAUCUGCCAAUGUGGACACUGGCUGAGAGUAGAGUUGCCAUAGUUGUAUCAUCACUCAGGCUAACAAUAUUCGUGUAGACAAUAUAGUCCAUUCAUGAAAGUAAUAUGGGCCAGACAAAAUCUGCCUAUUCACAGCCUUUCUGCACACUUGCUUUGAUAAAAAUGUACAAUUAUACUUCAAAAGCCUCAACAGACAAAAAACUUCACUGUUGGUUGUUUCUUUAUUUUCUCCAGGCCUAAGAAUUACAUCCACUCAUAAGCAAUGGACUCUCUGGAUAAAUAAUUAAUGGUUACUUAACAAGACUUGAGAACUUUCCUGCCAUUAUUUUGAUUAUGUUAGGUUCACAAGGUGACUCUUUCAGGAAAUGUGAAUGGCAUUUACCCGAGAAAGCAGUGAUUCAUUUUUAUCUGUUUUUAGAAAAGCUUUUGUUUCAUUAUCAUGAAGUAAAAAAUAGAGCCUGAAGAAAAUCAAAGCAAAUCUGAUUUGAGAAUAGCUGGGGCUUUGAUUAAGCUGUCUUAGGGAUGCUAGAUCCAUUUAGUACUUACAUGAUAUUAUUUAUUUAUGAUUUUGAUUUAUGUGGAACUUCCCGUGGGAGCUCUCCUGUGAAGACCAUCCUUGCAGCCAUGGUAUUCAUGAGUCGGCACUCAACUGUUCUCUGUUUAUGCUGUAGUCUUGGGUUCUUGUAGCCACAUCCUUCAGAGGAGACUUAAACUCAAGGCUUGAUCCUGGGCAGUGGUUGAGGAUCCCGCGACACGUCUAAGUUUCAACGCCUGGCCAAAUUCCAAUUUUGGCCCCUUCUUCUUCAUGUUCCCAUGGUUCCUUAGAGAAGACUUUUUGCGUUAAAUUGCCUUGUUCUUGUUGAGCUGCAGUUGUUAAGCAGCUGCCUCAUUGUGCUCUCCACGUGGUAAAAUUCCUGUUGAAAACUGAGAGAGAAUUACCAUGACGGAAGGGGGCAAAACACAAAACAAUGACAACAAUGCGAGAGGCAGUAGGAAUGCAAUUAGAGUGUGUGGCAGUGAGUCUCUUAAGGCAGAUAUUCAAUAUACACUUGGAAGGCAAUAAUGACCUUGGUUAUUUUUAGAAAAUCUUACUUUCUUCUCCCUGUGGAUGUUACCCAAGACUCCAUGGAGCAGUAUGACUGACUUAGCCCUGGGUAAGAGAGAUCCCUCCUGGAGUUUCAUGCUUUAGAGCAUCCUCCCCACCAGCUGUACCCCUCCUCAAGGCGUGAGGAAUCUUUGGGGGUCAAAAAGAUAUGCCUACCCAGGGCCUGCACCACCCCUUCUAGUCUAUGGUCUAGGUUCAGAGGACUCCAAAAUUCUCUACCCAAGUAGCCCUGUGCCUGCUCCCAUGGUCUGUAAGGAACUCUCCUUCCAAUGGCAAACCAUCCUACCAGCCUAGGGCAGAGGGGUGGCCGAGCCUGCAGUGUUUGCAUGGGGUGUAGAUGAAGCUUGAAUGUGUAGCCUGGGGGUGUCCACAAGGAUGUGAGUCCCCUCAUAGUGCUGACUGAGCCAGGGGUGAGAAGAGACAGGAAGGCCAUUGGUCAGGGGUCAGGGUUCUCCUGUGAUACCAUGUUCUGGUACAGAAUUAUGAGCAGUUUUAGAUUUUUAAAUUUUAAUCUGGUCUUAUAGGUAAUUAUGAAGACAUAUUGUCAAGGUGGGAUGGUAAAAUAUAUUUUAUUAUCAGUUUGUUACCUUGAUUCAUAAUGGUCAAAUAUUUAGAUAUAUGGCAUAUAGACUUCUAUUUUUAUUCUUGACCCAGGCUCUGGAAACAAAGGCUGGCCUACAAUGUUGUUAUACUUUCUCCUAACAUUUCCUUCUCUUUUAAGUGAAAAUAAUCUAGACACUGCAACAGUAUUAAAACUUCAUCAUUUCAUCCCAGUCACAACCUGAUAAAAAGUUGUUAACUUGCUUCCUGGCCAAAGUACUACAUUCAAAGUUUUACUGAACCUCCCCAGCAAUACUAAGAAUCAGAAUGCUGUCUAUGCUAAAAAAAUUCUGCAUGAGUUUCUACACAAACUUUCCCUACAUCCUCACUACAACCCUUUUCCAAGCUCAUCAUAGGAACCCAUUGAGCAUGCCUAUGAGAUGUCUGGGAAGCACUGAAGGCCACACAGAUGUAAUGCAUCAUUGUUAGUCUCAUCUCUCAGUAUCACCUCCCUUCCUCAGUGACUUCCUUAAACCAUUGCCAAAGAUGUGUUCAAUCAGCCCAUUCUGUGCCCAGCCAUAAAAUCAAACUUUUGUAUAUAUAGUCUCCUCUUCCUUUUCUUCCUCAAACCCGUCUUCCCCACAACAAAGCAGAGAAUUUGCAGCUGAGAUUAUCCAGGAGAAAAUAAGAAUAGUUAUUAACAUGUACUCGGCUCUUGUGAGCAGACAUAGGCUCGGCACUACCAUGCUGUAGGUACAAGGAUUAUUACCAUAUAACAGCUGAAUAAAUUGAGGUUUAUGUAGUUUAACUAACUUUUCAGACCCAGGAAUUCUGACUUUGGAGUAUACUCAUUUAAUCACUUCACAGUGACUGCCUCCAGAAUAUCGGAUUGUUUCUUCUGACUCCACCAAAAUCACCUUCAGCAGCCUCUGGCUGCCAUUUUUAAAAGCUAUUACUGGCCCCAGGAGAAUGUGAAGCCUUGCAAAUGUGCAAGUAGUCAUCAGCUUCAUUAUUAUUAUUUUCCUAGUUUCAUUAUGGUCCCUUACAAACUAAAUUAAAAUGUACUAGCCUCUAGUCACUAUGCAUCAGAUGGUCAAGGAAAUACAAUUAUGGUGGAUUAAGCUUGGGUAUCACAGGGUAUAACUGAUUGCUUUACUUAGUCUCCAGAUUUUUAACUAAGAAAAGCCAAUAUUCAAAGACAUGACUAGCCACGUAAGCAUUCAGCAUCUAAUUUUUCUUUCUCACAAGUCAGAGUGUGUGGAAACUUAUAAAACAACGCAAUCCUGUUUUAAUACUAAUACGUAGGUUUACGUGAGUGCACUUAUUUUCUAUAGGGGUUUGUUGAAGUUCAUCCAUUGGCUCUUGGUAACAUGAGGACAAGUGUAGUAGUGUGUGGAAAAGCAAUUUAUAUUCUCAUAGUGUUUUAAAGCUUUCUUAAAAUGUACUCAUAUCCAUUUAAUAAGUAGGGGUGUUAUAAAGGAAUCUUACUAUUUGACGCCUUUCAGGAAUUUGCUUUUUUAAAAUUCUUUACUCACUUCAGAGUCAAAUGAGUCAAGCAAACACCUUGAAAUGCCUAAUUGAAGAAGACGCAUAUCUUCCACCCAAAUCAAGUAGACCCUAAGAAUGACAGAAAGUUGUUCCUUGCUGUGCUAGCUACCUUUCUAAAUGUAGUCAUCCCAGCAGUCACUUCAGUCACCACUUCUCAUCUAGUCAUUUUCAUUUACUAGAGUGCAUUGGCUCAGCCUCUGACAAAACAGCAGCUACAUGCAGGGCCUAUAAUGUGGGAGAUGUCUCACAACCCUCUGUGAGAGCUCUAGGAACUUCUAUUGGAAGUCGAUAACAGCUUCAUUUGUCACAUGCCCACUGAAAGGAACUCAUUCCUUGUUUUCAGACUGGGUGGGAUGAAAGCCAAGAGCUUCCAGUGCUCGUUGUGGAUGUUAAGGUAGAAUGUAGAUCGGCAGCAUCCAAUGGCAGAUAGGAAAUGCCAGAGUGUUGGUCCUCAAGGGGACUAACACAGUUUUCAUCUAAAGCAGAAAGCGAUUUUUUUGCUCUAGGGACUGGGGCUACCCUGUUUGCUUCAUCUGAUUCGUAGCAUAAAAGGUAUAAGAACUGGUUUGUAAUUGGAGGUCAACAAUGGAGAGAUACCAGUGCUCUCAGGCAGAGGAAGGGGGAGUCAAACUUCAGCUAAGCUGAGGACCUUUUAGAUGUCUCAGUAACCGUGAAAGGUGCCAGAGGGAAAUGCCAUCUGCAGUGGUGCUGAUGCUGAGGGACUGCUAGGAACUGGAUAUGAGCAUCUAUUAUGUAGGCUGUGCAAAUCCCUCUUGAAGACUUGUCGGACUGCUAAGAUGCUAUUUACCACUAUGUUCCUGAGUUUUCCUUUUCUGUCCUGGACUGUGUCAUCUGACUAGGAAAGAUGUGUUUGCACUAAUGUUGUAAACUGAGAGCCAAAGAAAGAUAGAGCUUCUCUGUGUUAGACUUUUGAGUAUGCCCAGAGGCCAAGGGGCAGGGGACUUCUGAGUCUAGUCCCAUUUGACAGAUAUACAGCUUACCUGUAAGAAUGAUUAGAUGCAGUGUAGGAUCUUUGAGGUCAGGGUGAGUGUCUUGAUCACCUCCAGGCCUAGCAAAGUGGCUGGCACACAAUAAGGUCCAUAUACAUUUGUUGAAUAAAUGAAGGAAUGAAAGACUGAUUAAAUGAUUAAAUACAUGAAGAAAGCAGAUAAUGCCCACCUUCUUCUGCAUUAGAUUGAGACCCUGCUUUCUUGUAGAACAAGAAAAUCUGGUCUACGCAAGACAUUUAAAUGAUUUAGGGAUAAUGACCAAUGCACUAUCACAUUUUUAAAAUAAUCUAAAAUUGUAAGGUCAGGUCAAGGGGAAAGCAGGAUUUGAUUUACAAAACUUCAGUGCAUAUACAAUGUCUUAGAAACAUGUCUACUAUAUAACGCAAGGUGUUUUUUUUAAUUAAGAUUGCAAAAACAAAUUCACCAUGAAAUGAUGUUUAAGUGCUUUUUUUUUGUUCUUUCUUUCAGGUAAGUGAAAGAUAUCUUCUGAAGUGUUCUGCAGAAACUGUGCAGGUGGCAGAGUUGUCUUAGAAGAAAAAGGAAGGCAGGGAUCCUUGAAAUGGUAAUAUUUCAGCUGUUCCAUACACACAGGAAGCAUCUCACAUGUUUUCGCUUGUGUGGUUACACCUGUUUAUUUCACUAUAACUUGAUAUGGCUUAAACCUCAAGAUCUGCAAGAAUUGAGCGUUUUUAUGUAUCUGUGUUUGAGAGCCAUUUCGUAUCCUAAUCCAAAUCUUCUGCAGCCUACCCUCAGCUGAAAGCUCAUUCUAUAUGAAUUGCUUCAAAUUGAAAUGUCGUUUCUAAACAGAUCUGACAAUAACAGAUACACAAUUUACUCUAAAUAGUAUAUGAAAUAUAUAUUAUAUGUAUGUAAAUAUACAUUUGUGACUGCUUUCUUUUCAUAAGUUUCUUCCAUUUGAAUAUGAAGUGCCUUAUUUUUUACGUUAAUGGAAGCAUUAUCUGUUUAGAAAUAAACCUGUAGCCUGUUAGAUUUCCAGUCAAACUGAUAAGACAGUGGAAAUGUACUACAGAUUUUAGUCAUGAUACAAUUUAGCUUACCAAACUGGCUCCUUGACAGCUAGUGACUGACAAAAAACUUGAUUUACAAAACUUCAACAUAUUAACAACUCCAAUUUGUAGUGUAAGAUCUGAAAACAUUUCACAUGAAACAGAAGUAAGGGAAGAAGAUAUACCUAAAUAUUAAGUGAAAGCUUUAUGAGAUUAUAUUAUUAUAGCAGAUUUUAGAAGUGUAAUUUGCUAAAUGGACCUGAUUGAUUCAAAGAUUCAAUUUAUACCACCAAACUAGGAUUGUCUUCCUAUUUUCAACAGCAAAAUCCAUUUGGGUGAGUUGUUUGUAUUUGGGAAUUUCCUCCACAAUUUUCUUUUUAAAUAACCUUUCUCAUUUGCUGAGUAAGUAUUUACAGCUGGCUUCUUAUGAAACAUUAAAAUAUGUCCUAAAGCUCCCUGUGGAGUUAGCAAUACAAUGCUGGGUAAUUUGUGUUAUUCUAAUGCAUGGUCAAGUUUCUCCCUGCCAAUCAUAAUGUAAACAUGCGCAAUGAAAUGUAAGUCAUCUAUUAUCAAAAGUGCAUUUACCAAGUGUUGAUAAUAUGAUAAAGACAAUUCAAAGCUAACAAGAAAUAGACCCUGCUCUCAAGAGUUCAGCAUUUUAGGAGUCGGCAAGACAUAGCAGACGUGGAAUAGCUUCAUAAUGUAAGAAUUUUAAAAGUAUUAUCAUUUUUUUAACAUAGGAAAUACAUGUAUAAAAUUAAAGGCCUAAACCAUCAUUUGAAUUCUAGAAACUGUGAAGUAAAUAUUUUUCUGUUCUUUUAAUUUAUGUACCUUUUUCCUUUCUAAGAAAAGACUGUCAUAUUCAUCCCUAUCAGAAAAUGUUUUAGGUUAUAGACAGAAAACAAUAAAAAUAAUAAACAAAUAAGUAAAUAGGGAAAAAAAGUAGAAAAAUAUCCCCAGUUCUUAAGACAGUUGGUUAUUGCCCUGUGGGGAAGUGACAGAAACUCAAUUAGAGAGUAUUUAAUUUUUUAAAUUAUAAUCCAUCCUGGAGAAUACAUAAUUUAACAAAUUAUUUUGUGAAUUUAUAGAAAAUUAGGUAACAUGAACGACAGCUACAAAAGUAACCCCUUCCAUGGCGUGAUGCGGACAGAGCACAGCAACAUGAACACGUGUCCAUCUCCACCUGCCCAGGGUGUGCUUGACUCCCUCGGUCUUAAGGACUGCCUGGUGACUGUUACAGAAAUGAGCUGAGGGAAACGUCAAACAAGAGAAAAAAGUCAGUCGUUUAGCACAGAAGUCCUUCCUCUGAUGGUCGGGUGGAACUGGAUUUGAUGCAACUGGUUCAGAGGAGAUUUUCAUGUUAUCAGUGUGGUUGUAUACAAUAUUUUGGCUUCUUCACUAGCUUGGAUAAUCAGGUUGUGACAAUUAUAGUAGUUGUUUCAUGAGAACCCCUUCUCCCAAGCUGGUAACACGGUGUGACAAAAAGCACAGAUACGGAACCAGACAUAUCUGGGUACAAAAUUUGUCCUUGCUACUGAAUUGCUCUAUGUCUAUGAGGAAGAUAUGUGACUUCUCUGAAUCUCAGUUUUCUCACCUGAGGUGAGAAUAACAAUGGUGGUGAUUUAUGACUGUUGUGAAAAUUAGAUGAAAUGAAAUGUAAAAGAUAUAGCACAAUAUGUGGCUUAUGGUAGAUUUUUGGCAUAGAUUGGUGACUUUUUCUUUUUACUUUCUUGCAUACCUAGGCAUUCCUUACCCCAUUCCUUUAUCCUCCUAGCCAAUCACAGCAGUGUAUAAAUAACUGAGUGACACCUCAAGGUAGAGUCAUCUACUGUGUAGGGCAGGAGGAGACUAACAAAUAGAGACUUAAAAGGAAGAGAUGGAGACAGACUUCUGGUCACCCUCCCACUUAGACUCUGUUUUCCAGCCACAUUAGACAGCUUACCAUUCACCGGUCUUUUAAGUCGCUAAAAUACUGGGUUAUGGUAUUCUUUCUUGUAAAAAUAUAUGCCUCAUUUUUAUCUUCCUAGAGAGUUUCUUCUCCUUUACUAAGACCCUUCUUAAAUGGUACUUCCUUUGAGAAGGGAUUGCCAAUUUACACACGCACACAUACACAAUCAUACUCCUCACUGAAUUUUACAGCUGCCUGAACUUAACCACAUUUGAAGGCAAUCAUUCUAAAAUGCAUAACUUAGCCAGAAAAUUCCAAACAUCAUUAGCAUUGUUUAGCCGUUUCUCAAUGGAUCCAGGACAAUUAUUAUGGACCAGGUAUUUGGACAGUGUGGUAAAAGGCUGUCAGCCAUCACCUCUGUCCGUACUUUACCUGCCUCAGACAGCUUCUGCCCUUUUCUAGUUUGCUUCUACUAAUCUGUCAGAGGCUGAGAAGCCAGAUAACUAAGCUUUAAAAAAAAUUGCACAUUUAAAAAGUCAAUAUAGUUCCACAUGAAUCCCUAAGAGCCUUAAUGCAAGGCUUUGGGGUAGACAUUUCCGGCUUCUCUGAGGCCUUUAUCAGAGACUUCUGACAAGCUGGACCUUCUGGAUAAGUGGGGAGUUACUGUAUUUUAAUCCAUUAAUGUCUACUUUAUAGAACUACAGAAUAAAAAAUGUAUAUGUAAACGGAAUUUAAAUCAGAAAGUGAGUGCAAACUCACCUAAGCUAUUUAAAGUAUAAUUUAACAUCAAAACAUUCAGUUUAUAUUCAGCUUGUCCAUUACAGAGUUGAGAGGUAAAGGGCCCAGAAGACAAGAACGAGGACCAAAUUGGUAGAUUAUCCUCUGCUUACACUUCAAAUAAACCAGCUAAUUGUUUAUUUAUUUGCCUAGCAGUUGCUGCCUUGAUUAUAGGCCAUUAGUGACCAUUAAUAAAUGAAAUUGUGUUUUCAUUUCCCAAAGCAAUUCUGAAUUCCAUAAAUCUUGCAUUUCUCAUUAAAGAUGUUCAUUUUUAUACAUGCUUGAUUAACAAAUAUGAUCAAGGCCUACAGUACAACUUUAAAAGUAACAUGGAGCCUUUAGAACAAAAACAACAGAAGAAUAAUUCAUGAACUUUCUUAUUGUUUUCCUGGGAUAUUUGUCUUUAAGUGUUUGUUGUUGGAAGACUUGACAAUUAAGUAAAAUAUUAAGAUAUAUUUGCUCUUCACUGAGAAUAGUAACAGCAAUUCGUAUGUAUAGAAGCACUUUAUGGUACAUAUAAUGUUUUAAUAUUUAUCAUAUUUGAGUAAUUGCAUAUUAUCUCCAUUUCAUACAAAGGAAAAUGGAGACUUCAAGAAUUAAAUCAUUGUUCAGACAGAACUGCAUUGAAAUUUUGACUCCUCUAGUGAUUGGUUAUGUGAUAGGACAACUUAAUUGACAUUCUGAAUUUUCAUCUCCUUAUUUUCAUCUCCUAUUGAAAACAGAGCUAAUAAUAAAUAUUUUUUAGUUAUCUUGACAAUUAAAGACAUGUUAGGGAAAGUACUGGACACACUGCAGGAACUCAAUUGCUAUGCUCAAAGUACUAACAUGUACUUUGUUUUCCCUUCUCCAUUAAAGCAUAUCGUCUUAUUUUGUAACAAUUCUAACAUUUGUAGAAGAAGACACCAUAUUAAAUUAUUAUAUAAAGUUCAGUGCCCUGAUGAAUUCAGAAAAUCAAUGUAUUAAAAAAUAUGUUGAGUUUAUGGUAAAACAUACUCUAGUGAAUGAAUAUCUUAGACUUGGAAAGACAUUUUACUAUACAUUGUUUAGAUCAAUGCUAAUCGCCUUUGUCUCUGCCAAAUAUGUAUCAGGUGGCAAAACUGUUCUCACUGUUCGUAUUAAUUUACAGAAAUGUAGUAUGUGAAAUGGAAAUGGCACUCUAAUGGGAGUCAGAAAGUACUGGUUCUAGUCAUGAGCUGUGUCACUAACUGUGUGACUCUGAGCAAGUUACUAGACUUCUUUGGGUUUCAUUAUACUCAUCUAUAACUUGUAGAAGUUGAAAAAAAUAAUUCCUAAGGCAUUUUCCAGCUGUUAGGAGAGAAAAUUCCCAUCCUGUAUUCUACAGAAUGGAGGUUCAUUGAGAUAUUAGAUUUUCCUUUAAAGAAAAAGUUAAUACUCAAAUAAAUCUGAGAAAUACUGAAUAGCAUCUCCUCCCUUAGAUAAUUCACAAUGCAAAGUAGCAUAUUAAAGGCUCUGAAAUGUCCUGUUCUAAAGACAUCCUGAUUAACUUCUGCAUUGAUUAUGGUUGGCAUUAAUUAAUCAAGGUCAGCAUUCCCCAAUCUUUUUGGACCAUUGCACCUCUUUUCUGCGGGAAGGGGUGUGGUUAAGAAGUGAAAAAGACAUCUUCAUCUUUCCAAGAGUAGGUGUUAGGUAGAAUAGGUAGCACACUGUUUUACAAAAUACUGAUUUUUAUAAUUUCUCAAUUUUCUAAAAUCUAAACUACAUUUUGAAAUAUAAUGAAAAUGUGAACCCGUGUAAAUAGAAGAAUUUACCCAGAUGGGAUUAACUACACAUGCAUAUAAGUAGAUUGAGGCAUUUAGUAUUCCCAUCUCUCCUAGUCCUCCACUGCACAUUCAGGAGAAUUCUGAAAUAAUUUCGGAGCAAUGAGUACCUUUUAGAUCCAAUGAAAUCUCCUUCAAAGAAGCUCUUCAUUUGCAAUAGCAGGUAGUUUGAACAGUGGGGCAGCCUUGGAGUGAGGACAUCCAGCUUUGAAUCCUAUCUACCCUUCAAGCCUCUGUAAUCUUGGGCAAGUUACUUAACUUUCUUGAGUGGACAUUUCCUCAUUGAUAAAAUGGAGACACAGUUACUUAUCUCACAGCUUCAUUGUGGGUAUUAAUUGAGAUAAGGGGUGUAAAAGAACUUGUUAAAGUAUAAAGUUCUACGUAAAUGGGAGAAGUUAUUAAUAGAGUCUCUGCUCAGUAAGUAUGUCUAAAAUUGCUAAUCGUAGGAUUAGAAGGAUUGCAAUCAACUGUCCCCCUAGCUUCACUUUUCAAAUAAAAUAUUAAGGCAUAGAGAAGCUAAGUGAGUUUUCUCACGCCACCUAGCUGGCAGGGGGAGAGCCAGCGCUCUGAGCUGAUUCAUCUGACUCGAGUCCAUUUCUUUCUGGCACAAGCACACUGGCUCAGUUUGUGUAUGGGGGGGUAUACUCUGCCCUUCAACAUUUUCAUUUUCAUGAGUCAAAUACUUCAGUCAUUAAAAAACAUCAUCCAUAUUCUAAGAAAGGCAAACCAAUGAUCGUUCUUGAAAUAUUACUGCUUUCUUUAUUUUAAAAUUGUUUCCUUGUU